GGGGUUGUGGCUCAGUGGUAGAGUGCCUUGCCUUGCAUGCAUGAGGCCCUGGGUUCGGUCCUCAGCGCCACA
rnacentral:tRNA from 1 species